CGCGGCCUAUCAGCUUGUUGGCGGGGUAACGGCCCACCAAGGCUAUGACGGGUAGCUGGUCUGAGAGGAUGGCCAGCCACAUUGGGACUGAGAUACGGCCCAGACUCCUACGGGAGGCAGCAGUGGGGAAUCUUGCGCAAUGGCCGCAAGGCUGACGCAGCGACGCCGCGUGUGGGAUGACGGCCUUCGGGUUGUAAACCACUGUUGGGAGGGACGAAGGCCCCGCAAGGGGAUUGACGGUACCUCCAGAGGAAGCACCGGCUAACUCCGUGCCAGCAGCCGCGGUAAUACGGAGGGUGCGAGCGUUGUCCGGAAUCACUGGGCGUAAAGGGCGCGUAGGCGGCGCGUUAAGUCGGAUGUGAAAUUCCGGGGCUCAACUCCGGGGCGGCAUCCGAGACUGGCGUGCUUAAGCGUGGUAGAGGCGAGUGGAAUUCCCGGUGUAGCGGUGGAAUGCGUAGAGAUCGGGAAGAACACCGGUGGCGAAGGCGGCUCGCUGGGCCAUUGCUGACGCUGAGGCGCGAAAGCGUGGGGAGCAAACAGGAUUAGAUACCCUGGUAGUCCACGCCGUAAACGAUGGGCACUAGGCGCUGGGGGGAGCGACCCCUUCGGUGCCGUCGCUAACGCAGUAAGUGCCCCGCCUGGGGAGUACGG
rnacentral:rRNA from 1 species